GUAUAACUAACAUUUUAAAAAGUGUUACAUAAAAAGUGUUAGUAAAUGUUAAAAUUCUAGUAGUGCAAUAAAAUAAUUUUUCAUGGUAUAAAUAUUAUAAUUAGAAAGAUAGGUUUAUAUACUUCGUUCAUGUCACAUCCUUUUUAUUUAUUUGUCAACUUUAAAUAUGACCAAUUUUUAGGAUGUCAUUGCUUGGAUAUGCUGGGUGCAAAGGAAAUUGAUCCAAACUGGUUGGUCGAACAACAGAAGACAGAAAUUAAGAUUAUGAAAGGGUGGAUCACCCAAUACUAUGCUGAUCUUAAUUAGUGCAUUCAAAGACAUAAAAAUUUCAAAGCAAACCAUUAAAUUCAUAUAUAUCAAUAUGACUAA